CGCGUAGGCGGCUGGAUAAGUCAGAUGUGAAAGUCCAUGGCUCAACUGUGGAAGUGCAUUUGAAACUGUCAGGCUUGAGUAUCGGAGGGGAGUGUGGAAUUCCCGGUGUAGAGGUGAAAUUCGUAGAGAUCGGGAGGAACACCGGUGGCGAAGGCGACACUCUGGACGAAUACUGACGCUGAGGCGCGAAAGCGUGGGGAGCAAACAGGAUUAGAUACCCUGGUAGUCC
rnacentral:rRNA from 1 species